rnacentral:ribozyme from 1 species
UAAGUAUAUAUAGAUGGAUAGAUGGAUAGACAUAUAAACAUAGAUAGAUAGAUAUAUGUUUAUUAAAAAUUGAAAAACAACCUAAUAAAAUUUCUUCGAUGUUUUCUUUUGUUCUUUUGGUCUUUUUCUUUUGGUUUUAUUUGUUUUUUUUUUCUUUUUCUUUGGAUGUG